ACUCUCCAAAACAUACUAAACAAAUAAGAAUAACCUAGGAUCGUGCCAUCUGUCUCAGGCAAAUAACCUAGGAUCGUGCCAUCUGUCUCAAGUAAUUCUUGCAUGGAGCAAUGCUCGUGUGAAAUAACCUAUAAUAAAUCCCUAAUAAAGGCAUUUGUUAGUAAAUUUAGGUUAUAGUACAAGGAAAGAACAUAUUUAUUAAAUAUGAAACAAACCCUACAUGAAAGUUCAUUGACGUAUGCGAAAAGAAUGUUCAUGAAUAGAUAAAAUGCAUAAAAAAGAAUGACGGAGAAAGAUACUAGAAGUAUCAAAAGUUGUGUAUGGCACUCAUUUAGAGCUAUUCGAAUCACUUAAGUGUCACUCAAGUGUCAACUCUUAUUUGGGUCACCAGAAAUCAGAUCCGACGUGGCCAUAUUUUAUUAAUUUCUUAGUCUUUCAUGGCUCGCCGGCGUGCCCGGUUAGCAUAUAACCCCUAAUCGACCUCAUAUAGAGAAGUUGACGGUGAUUAUUUGAGUGCCAAAAAUCGUAAAUAUGGAUCCUUUGAGUGCUAAUUAUUGUUGCCACUUGUUAGAAAAAUAAUCACUUUAGUGUCGGUCAUUGUAAUAAAGUGAUAACUUAAGUGCCAAUCUCAAUUAAAAAGUAAUCAUUGUGCAAUGUCAUUUUUUUUUCCAUGGACUGUAUCUUUUUUUUAAAAAAAAUGUGUCAAGUCAUAUUAAAAUUUUAAUCAUAAAUGCCACGUAAUUAAUUUGGCCAGAAUUUCUCGUUGGAUGUACUUAAGUGAUCGUUUUUUUCUUCGAUUUGUCACUUAAGUAAGCCGGCAAAAACUUUUGACAUUAAAUUGAGCAUCAUACAUGAUUUUUGACACUUCUAACGUUCUUCUCCCAAAGAAUGAUUAAGAUUAUACUAUUAUUGGUGGGACGAUAAGAGCGUUGCAAUUUAACAAAAGUAGAUGUGCGACAUGCACAACACAUUUUUAUGAGGAAGACUAGUCAUACUUCGUAUAGAAAAAAACAACUAUUAUCAUAUAAUAAUAUAACAAUCGUUGCAUUUUUCUUAUUUGUGUAAAGAAUAUAAGAGUCGUUACGGCGUCUCAAAAUUCAAAUAAAGUAAAGCAUUAAUACUAUGAAAAAACCAAAAUUGGUACACCUUAGACAAAUAUAUUCCAAACUAAUUUUUGGGUCACCGAAAACCUCAACUAUUAUACCUGUGACGUAUGUACCCUCAUUUAGCUUCUAUUGAAUUUUACUGUGAAACUGUUGAGCUGAAUGACACAUGACAAUAACUCAAUUGACAUUAGUAAGUCCAUGUGAAAAAACAUAUUAGUUUCGGAUAAAGUUAUUACAGGUGUACCAUGCCAUUGACCUUAACUUUCAUAGUUUCAGUGAAGCCUUAAUUUUGGUAAAUUUAUUAUAGACAUUUGGAGAUUUUUGAUGAUUCAAAAAUUAGUUUAGAAUAGCACUGGUGUACCAAUUGGAGUUUUUUGUAGUAUUAAACAUAUCGUGAAUAAGAAAAGCUUGUCUAUUAGUCAUUAAUAGAAAACGCAAUAAUUUAGAGUAAAAGAUAGAGGCAAGCUGAUAAUAUGAUCAAAUAGGAAAUUCAGCGAAGAUUUGAUCGUGUAUAUUGAAUAGAGAUAAAUUAGAAGAAGAAUAUGUUGGGGGAUAGAAAUAAGAGCUAGACUUGAGGACGAGAGAUGACUUGUCUUUUAGUAGCUGUUAAAGAAAAGCUCCAAAUUUCUUUUUCUUUUUUUUCUUUUUUUUAAACGAUUCCAAACUAAUCGAUAUGAUUACAGUAGAAAACUAAAAUAGUAAAAGAUUGUGUACAGAUAUGGGAUUUCACUUUACAUAAAUGUUCUAGCUUUGGAAUUGUCUAGUAUGGGAAGAGCCUUAAGGAAUUUUUUAAAUUUAUUUGGAUAAUAGGAAAACAUAAAGUAGGAAAAAAAAUGUAGAAGCGUUGACCAUGGGAAGCAAAUAUCUUUUGAGAGGUUAGCAAGGAGAGUGAACUUCCUUAAUCAAACUGUAACAUUUUAGUAAAAUAAUAGCAAUAAUAUCACAUGACGAUAUGAAGGAGAGUUUUGAAUUGAGAGGUGCAGUGUUGGCAUCAGAAUGUUAACAAAUCCAUUAUGUUACUUACGCAUAUAGAGCUUUCUGUAUUCCCAAAAAGAAUCCGCAUCCUAAUGUGUAUUGCAUAUGUACCUAUAUAUUACCAUAUGUAUUAGUCACCAACUUUGUCAUCCAUUAAAUCCAUCCCAAGAAUAUAAAAAAUGAUUGGUCAUCUUUUGACAAGAAAGUAAAAAAUGAAGCCUUUGAAAAAGCGAGAGUGCUCUUUCGGGCGUCGGAUGCGACCUGAGUGUGUCCGCAUUACCAACUUUGUCAUCCAUUUAAUCCAUCCCAAUAAUAUAAAAAAUGAUUGGUCAUCUUUUGACAAGAAAGUAAAAAAUGAAGCCUUUGAAAAAACAAAAGUGUUUUUGCAGGCAUCAGAUGCGACCUGAGUGUGUCCACAUUUUUGGUUGAGGCUUGCGAGAAUGAUCAGAAUUCCUAUCUAUAUCAGCUCAAGUCGGUCAUAGAAGUCGAUAAUUAAAUUUGUCAGGCUUUUGAUUUGCCAGUCUCAGGUGAGCAUCAGCAUUAACUUGUUUAUUAUACAUGUUGUGAGAAGUCUCUAUCCUUGGACCGACUGGACUAAUAUCUUCUUCAGUUAACAGAGAGAGAACAAAAAUGGCAGACGCUUUCAUCGUCGGUAUCGCUGGAAAAAUUGUUGCUAAUCUAGUUUCUCAAGCGCUAGAAAAUGUUGGAAAGUUAUGGGGCGUCAAGCAUGAACUCGAGGUGCUCAGGGAUACUGUCUCCACAAUUCAGGCUGUACUGGAACAUGCAGAAGAGCAAUACUAUCAAAGUCACCAAAUCCAAGUUUGGCUUGAGAAACUAAAAGACGCUUUCUAUGACGCGCAAGACGUGCUUGAAGAAUUCAAAAUAGAAGCUUUGCGACGAGAUCUGAGAGGCCACAAUGAAAUAAGUAAGGGGGUAAGGACAUUUUUCUCAAGUUCAAACCAACUUGCUUUUAAACUGAGGAUGAGUUACAAAGUAAGAACAGUGAGGGAGAAAAUAGAAGCCAUUAAGGAUGAUAGGAAAUUUCACUUGGAUGAGCGCCCUGUGGAUUUGCCAGUAAAGAGAAAAUUGAGGAAGAGAGAGGAGACACAUUCAUUUAUACGUGAGGGAGAUAUUACGGGCAGAGAUGAUGACAAGAAGAACGUUAUGAAAUUUUUACUGGAUUCAGACAUGAAAGAGCAUGUUUCCAUCCUUCCAAUAGUUGGAAUUGGUGGGCUUGGAAAAACAGCUCUUGCUCAAUGUGUGUAUAAUGAUGAGAUGGUCAGUAAACAAUUUAAUUUGAAAAUGUGGGUUUGUGUCUCUAAUGACUUUGAUAUGAAACGAGUAGUGAAAAAUAUCAUAACUUGUGCAAAGAAGAAAAAACCAACAGAGGAUGCAAUGGAACGAUUGCAAAGUGAGCUGAGGGCAGCAAUUGAUGGGAAGAGAUAUCUCUUAGUUUUAGAUGACUUGUGGAAUGCAGAACGAGAAACGUGGUUGAGCUUGAAAAAUUUAUUGAUGGGAGGUGCUAGAGGAAGCAAGAUCCUUGUAACUACACGCCUUCCUUUAGUUGCGGAGAUCACCCACACUGUUCCACCUCAUGUUCUUAAGGGCUUAUCUGAGAGUGCAUCUAUUGAUUUAUUAAUGAAAAUGGCUUUUCGAAAAGAAGAGGAGAUACAAGAUCCUGACAUGCUAACAAUCGGCAAAGAGAUGGUUAGAAAGUGCUCUGGGGUUCCAUUAGUCGUUCGAGCUGUUGGGAGUUUAUUAUUCUUUAAGAAAACUAAACCCGAAUGGUUACAUUUCAAAGAUCAUGAGCUCCCAGAUGUGUCUCAAAGCGAAGACAACAUAAAAUCAGUGCUUAGGCUAAGUUAUGACCGUCUCCCUUCACAUUUAAAACAAUGUUUCACAUUGUGCUCAUUGUUUCCCAAAGAUUAUGAGAUAAAGAAGCAGACUUUGGUCAAUCUUUGGGUGGCAGAAGGUUUUAUCCAGCCAUCAAAUAAAACUCCACAUCUAGAAGACAUUGCUCAUGGAUAUUUCAUGGAGCUACUUAGGAGUAACUUCUUCCAAGAUUUUCAAAAACAUCCUUUCACGAGGGAGGAGACCUGCAAAAUGCAUGAUUUGAUGCAUGAUCUAGCCUGCUUAGUUGCAAGGACCGAGUAUGGGGUGGCACAGGAUGACACAAAAACCAUAUAUGAGAGUACUCGUCAUUUAUCAUAUGGUUCAAUUUUCAAUUUGAUGGGUGGACUUCCAAUCUCAUGCUUAAAAGCAAGGGCAGUGAGAACAAUUCUUUCUACUUGUUGGGGAGUGGGACAGCAAGAACCAACAAGUGAAGCAGAUCUACGCCAACUUAUUCAAAAUUUCAAGAGCUUGCGCAUCUUGGAUCUACAUGCCACAAAUGUCAAAAAGAUGCCGAGGUCCAUUUGUAAGUUGAAGUAUCUCACAUAUCUCGACCUCUCUUAUAAUGAUGCACUCAAAAGGCUUCCUAACUCUAUCACGAGAUUACAGAAUUUGCAAACACUUAAUCUCUCAGGUUGUAUUUCCCUUGAAGAAUUGCCAAGGGGUGUAAAGAAGUUAGUUAGCCUUCGAAAUCUAGACUUGGAUUUUUGUCAUAAACUUAGUUUUGUGCCUUGUGGACUAGGGCAAUUGAGUUCUCUACAUAGGCUAACACGCUUCAUUUUGCCCGAGAAAAAAUCUCUUACUAAGAAUUAUUGCAGACUUAGGGAGCUAAAUGAGAUUAAUAAUAUCCGAGGUAGCCUUUGCAUUGAAAACUUGGGAAGCGUGACAGAUGCAGCAGCAGAAUCCAAGGCUGCGAACUUGAUAGCAAAACAUUCUCUAGAAUCUUUGGCAUUUAAAUGGGGCAAUUUCGAUACUAAUGAUGCAAUAAUUGUGGAUAGAGAUGAGGCGCUAUUAGAUGGACUGAGGCCACACCCAAAUCUUCAAGAGUUGACAAUCAAUGGAUAUAAAGGUGAGAGCCUUCCAAAUUGGAUGAUGGAUAAUCUCGUCUCUUCCUUGCCAAAUUUAGUUAUGGUAUGCUUUUAUAAAUGUGGAAGAUGUAAACAUCUCCCUCCACUGGGCCAACUACCUCACCUUAAGACUUUAGAGAUUCGAGAGCUAACUGAAUUGGAAUACAUAGAGUCAGACCAUUCAUCCACUUUAAUAGCAUCAUUUCCCAGUCUAUUGAAGUUGGUGGUCUUUUAUUGUGGGAACUUGAAAGCCAUGCCACGAACUCCACAUCUUGAGGAGUUAAUGCUGAUUAAGGCCAACCAAGCAUUGAUAAAUCAUUUAUUUGGCCUUAAUAAGUUGAAGAGUUUAGAUAUCUCGGAUAUGGAAUAUUUGCCUAAGGAGGGUUUGAAAAGUCUCACCUCACUUGAAUAUCUUAGCAUAUGGGAAUGUCCUUGGUUAACUUCUCUCUCACUUGGUAUGCGACAUCUAUCGAGUCUCGUGGAUCUCUCGAUUCGGUUUUGUGUGGAGCUUGACUUAUCCAAAGAUGAAAGCGGCAACAUCUUGGAUUUCCAAGGACUUCAAAGUCUCCACUCCAUAAAUAUCACUCUCCUUCCCAAAUUAGCGUCACUCCCACUGUGGCUUUGGCAGGUUAGCAAUCUCGAGUGUCUCAGAAUAUGUGAUUGCUCAAAUUUGAAGGCUAUACCAGAGCAGAUUGAGGCUCUUCAAUCACUUCAACGGUUUGAAAUCAUCGAUUGCCCCUCACUGAUGUCAUUCCCUGAAGGAAUGCGAAGGCUUACAUCCCUUACUCACCUAAGAAUCGUAGGUUGCCCAGAAUUGGAGAAUAGGUGCAAAAAAGAUGCAGGCAAUGACUGGUACAAGAUCUCUCAUGUCCUGCACUUAACCAUCGAGCCUUAAUCAUCUUUUUGAAGGAAUUUACAGCGUGUGGGAACAUGGCUUCAUUCCCAAACGUGCAUGAAAAUUGAAGAAAAUUCAUACUCCUCAUCAUCCAACUCCGAGGCGAUCCUUAGACCUGUUGAGCACCCAUCUGAGCUUCCAAAGUGGAAUUACUAUGGAUCAAGUACUGGUCAAGCUGCAAGGGAGGAUAGAGAAGUGAUAUUAUUUGUUAGCAUUUGCCAGCAACAUUUUGUAAAUUGUUUUGUAUUAUAGUAGAGUUUUUAAAGUCUCUCUGUGAACAGUUUGAAGGAAAAUGUAAUGGCGGGGAGAGAGAGAGAAGGGAAAUGCACAUUCUUCAUUUGCUGUUCACCCACUCUGCAAAGGUUCUCAAGUAAAUUCUUUUCCAA